rnacentral:rRNA from 1 species
UCGGGAAUUUUGGGCAAUGGGCGAAAGCCUGACCCAGCAACGCCGCGUGAGGGAUGAAGUAUUUCGGUAUGUAAACCUCGAAAGAAUGGGAAGAAUAAAUGACGGUACCAUUUAUAAGCUCCGGCUAACUACGUGCCAGCAGCCGCGGUAAUACGUAGGGAGCAAGCGUUGUUCGGAUUUACUGGGCGUAAAGGGCGCGUAGGCGGCGCGGUAAGUCACUUGUGAAGUCUCUGAGCUUAACUCAGAACGGCCAAGUGAUACUGCUGUGCUAGAGUGCGGAAGAGGCAACCGGAAUUCUUGGUGUAGCGGUGAAAUGCGUAGAUAUCAAGAGGAACACCUGAGGCGAAGGCGGGUUGCUGGGCCGACACUGACGCUGAUGCGCGAAAGCCAGGGGAGCAAACG